UUGAAUAUUUUUUGAGUCAAUAGUUAGGGUCAGUUCACCUAAUUAACUUUUGAGUUAAGCAUUCUUAAUGUGUAUUUGAUUCACUUAAAAUUAAUAUACUCCAUAACACGAUAUUUUUUUUCAAAAUAACCAAUUUUUUCAAAAAAAAAAUCAAAAAUAACCAUUUUUUUAAAAAAAUAAAUCAAAAUAAUCAAGUUUGGUAGAGAAUGCGUCAUAUGAAU
rnacentral:lncRNA from 1 species